AGCCCCAGAGACUGAAGUCCUCUGUUAAUCCACAGAAAAGAUGCUCCAUGGGCAAAGUUCAAGUUUCCCUGCACUGCCCCAAAGUGCACCUUAAUUCUGAACUAGAGAGUGAGAGGAACUCUCCCUGGCCUCUUGGCUGAA
rnacentral:sRNA from 1 species